GAUUUAAACAGUAGCACGUUUUUUUUUGCGGUAUUCCUACUUUCACUUUGGACAACAUUUGAAGGCUUUUCCAAAUUGCGUCAUUAAAACCAGGAAUGAUAGCCGUCCAAUGAAAACGCUUCUUGCAUUUCAGAUAUAGGCGUGUGUGCGGUCAAGGUCGAAAUUGCGAGAGGGUGAUUCGAAGUGAAAUACCGCAACAAAAACGUUCGAUUUGGACAUCAACGCGUGUAACUGAAUGAGUCACAAUGUUUCUACCACAAGAGUUGUAAAUAUUGAACAGAAAGGGCUUCAUUUUCAAGAUGAAAACUGCAAAAAAUGGCCACCAACAAUAAUGGGCCAGGACUGAGGAGUUCCAAGAAAUGAGUAUUCUUCAGCCCACAAAUAUCAGUGCUGCCCCACUGCCCAAAACCAGAGUGUGGCAACAAGUAAAUGGACCUUGACAAAUGUCUUCUAUGUUAGAGCCAGUCCCUUACACAAGUGGCCUACUAUUGCACAGCUGAGGUUGUUAUCAAAUGCAGCAGUAGGUAUGAAAUGCGGAAACUGUUCCAACUUGAUCUUCAACAGUUGAGUUACUCCUCAUCACAAUACCUGAACUGAAAACAAUCGGUGACGAUCCUGCACUUCACUUCUACCUCACAGUGCUCUUCCCUAUAAACGGUAGAGGAAAGUUUGAAAAUGAAAACCUUGUCAUUGCAAGUGUGAAAGGACCAAUUGAUUCAUAACGAAACAACCUGCCUCAAUGCUUUAGCUGACACUGCAUCAAGUCAACACAAGGCAAUUUGUUUUUCUUGCAACCUGACCUGUAUGUUGAAUCUGAUCAAAAUUGUACACAACCACUGGUCAAGAAUAUAGAAAUACAAGUUGUAUGAUCAGUAACCUAAAAUAUUCUUGAAUAUUUGAACAUAAUAAAAGAGUAUUUGUUAAAGUUAUACAUAUUGUGUGUAGUGUAGGUAAGAUCAAUGUCAAGGUUAUUUUGGCUAAAAACAAGGAAAAUGAGUCUUGAUUCAUAACAUCGAUGAAAUAGCAAGCUUUAAGUAUUUUCGAUAAAGUGAUACAUAUAUUUUGUGGUGAUGUCAUAACCUUGUUUCACUGUUUUUGAAGAGAAAACACAUGUUAUAAAUAUAUUAUCACAUUUGUGUUUUUUUAGCUCGACUAUUUUAAGAAUAAGGUGGGCUAUACUAUUCGCUCUGGUGUCGGUGUCCGGUUCAAGUUUUAGGGCAAGUUGGGAUUUUCACUUAUAAGUCCAAUACCCUUCAUUCAAUUGACUUGAUACCUAACACAGUUGUUCAGGGCCAUCAUAUAAUGGGAAUAGAUAAUUCCUUUAUACAAGUUAUGGCCCCUGAUUGACUUAGGUUAAAGGUUUAGGGCUGGUUAAAGUUUUAGAACAAGUUGGGAUUUUCACUAAUAAGACCAAUACCCUUCAUUCAAUUGACUUAAUACUUUACACAGUUGUUCAGUGCCAUCACAUAAUUAGGUAAGAUAACUCCAUAUCAUAUUUUAUUCACAUAAUGGCCCCUGAUUAACUAUGGAACUUAGAUUAAAAUUUUAGGGCAGGUUGAUAUAUUUAUUGAUAACUUCUAUACCCUUCAUUCAUAUUAUCCUUAAUACAAGUUAUGGCCCCUGAUUGACUUAGGUUAAAGUUUUAGGGCAAGUUAAAGUUUUAGGGCAAGUUGGGAUUUUAAUAAAAAAAACUUCCAUAACUUCAUUCAAUGCACUUAAUACUUCGCAGAAUUAUUGACGACCAUCUUACACUAAGGAACAUAACUUCAUGUUAACCCUAAAUACAAAUUAUUGCCCUUGAAUGUUUUUUUUCCUUUUUAACUCUUUUUUUAAUUUCUUUUGAAAGGCACAUUUUUAUAUUCCUAACCACAUUUUCAUAAAGGGAAAACAAGAUAUUUGAAUGACCUGUGUCAUUGUUCGGGCGGGCUGGUGUUAGAGCAGCGUCAAAGUCACCUUAUGUAUCGAAUAAUUUUAGCUAGGUUUGACAUAAAGAGACCAAACUUGGUAUAUGCAAAGAGUUUAUGGAGACCUUUUAUGGGAAUGCAUUUGAGGCUCCUAUGAUCAAGGUCAAGGUUACUAUUAAUAGAAAAAGGGUUGGUUUUGAAUAACUUAAGUAAAGGUCUUCUAAUUGGUACCAAAUUUGGUAUAUAGGAAGAGUUUAUAGAGACCUUUCCUGAGAUUGUGUUUUUUGUCCCCGAGAGUUAUGGUUUAGGUCAAGGUCAAAAUAGAAAUAUGGUAAGUACUGAAUUACUCAAGUAAGGGUUGACAUAGUGUGACCAAACUUGGUAUAUAGGACAAGUAUAUGCAGAGCUUUAAUGGAUGCUUUUUGGUCCCCUAGGGUCGUUGUCACUGUUACUAAAAAUAGAUUACUGUUUCAGUUAAGGCUUACAUACUGUGACCAAACUUGAUAUAUGUAGGAAGAGUUUAUAGCACGGACACGAGUAUGUGUACUCUGACAUUUAAAUAUCUCGUGUGACUUUGAUCUUUGAGUUAUGAACCCUGGUCAAUGUCACUGCUCAUCGUCUCAAUGAGGACAACAUUUGUACCAAGCAAUAUGGUAAUCCAUCAAUGCAUAAGUAAGUUAUAGCACGGACUUGAAAUGUUACAGCCAGACGGACAGACAGACUGAUGAAGUGUUUCUGUAAUCCCCUCCCCACUCCGUCGCGGGGGAUUUGAAAUUUGAUAUUUAUAAAAUAGUGUACUUCCAUUUUUGCCAUUGUUGUGUUUUACCAUUCUGUCAAUAUGUUAAG